AUUGAACGCUGGCGGCAGGCCUAACACAUGCAAGUCGAACGAGUGGCGGACGGGUGAGUAAUGUCUGGGAAACUGCCCGAUGGAGGGGGAUAACUACUGGAAACGGUAGCUAAUACCGCAUACCAUCGGAUGUGCCCAUAUGGGAUUAGCUAGAAGGUGGGGUAACGGCUCACCUAGGCGACGAUCCCUAGCUGGUCUGAGAGGAUGACCAGCCACACUGGAACUGAGAGACGGUCCAGACUCCGACGGGAGGCAGCAGUGGGGAAUAUGACACAAUGGGCGCAAGCCUGAUACAGCCAUGCCGCGUGUAUGAAGAAGGCCUUCGGGUUGUAAAGUACUUUCAGCGAGGAGGCGUUACUCGCAGAAGAAGCACCGGCUAACUCCGUGCCAGCAGCCGCGGUAAUAC
rnacentral:rRNA from 1 species